CGGGCUGUGGUGCAGUGGUAGCACGCAUCGUUCGGGACGAUGAGGUCGCGGGUUCGAGUCCCGCCAGCCCGA
rnacentral:tRNA from 1 species